UGUCUUAUAUUUUAUAUAAAAAUAUUAAAUUGCAAGUUUAAAGAUGUUAAUUGCUAAGGCUU
rnacentral:tRNA from 1 species